rnacentral:misc_RNA from 1 species
UGGUAAGGAAUAUAUGUUGAGAGCAGAGUUUAGCCUUCCCAGCAUUUCAGCAGAAGAAGCAGUUCCUGAAAGAAAAUCUCCUAUACGUGUGAAAUUUGAGAUACCAUAUUUUACAGUUUCGGGUAUACAGGUUCGCUACUUGAAGAUAAUUGAAAAAAGUGGUUAUCAGGCUCUUCCUUGGGUGCGAUAUAUUACCAUGGCUGGUGAAUAUGAGUUGAGACUUGCGUAAAACCACACCGAGAUGAUGAUCCAAUGCAAUUAAGUUUGCCCGAGGCUCGGAUAAGUCACGAGCUCCAAUGCUUUGAGCUGUUUUUCAGGAGAUGAACUGGUUUAGCUCAUAGAUUUUAAGCAAAUUGUUUUGUUGUGCCAAUUUGUUAUUUAUUUGACUUUAUUGCUUGUAUGCUAGCCACAUUUUCUUGUAUAAAGAUGUCUG